rnacentral:lncRNA from 1 species
AACUUCAUACGUAAUCAAAUCAUAUAUUUCCAAUCCAGCAGGGAGGUCACUUAGGGCUUGUUUGGUUCAUCCAUUUUGGGUAUGGAAUUGAAAUCGGUUUGAUCAAAUCCGGUUAAUUUUGUUUGGUUCGCAUGAAUCGGUUUGGGAUUCCUAUUCCGGACUGGAAUGGGAAUGACCCAUUAGCCUUCAACUUGAUUCUGAUCUUCUAGUCCGGAUUGAGAUUUCAUUCCGGAAGCCCACUAAGUUCUCGAAACCUAUGUGACCAUCUCUCCCUCCUUCUCUUCACCCCUUUCUCAUAAAAAAAAAAAAAAACUAUCAUCUCUCAAAACCCUAUCCCUAACCCACAUCAAUAAAAGUUUUAAAAAUAAAUUUGAUAUUUUUUUGAAAAAUUUAUUAGAGAAUAGUAUUAUAUUUUUCAUAAAUUUUAAAUAAUAUAAAUUUAUAUUUGAGAGUAAAAUUAGUAUUAUAGUAUCCUAUAAUUUUUUUAGUUUAUACGAACCAAACAAUAAAAUGUGAAUAAUUCAUUCCAAUUCUCAAUCCACAAAUAAACUAAACGUCUUGGGGGGAGUGGACCAUUCCAAUUCAUUCCCAUUCCAUUAUCCAUUCCAAUUACACCCUUGAACCAAAUAAGCCCUUAAUUGGAUCCGAGAUAAAUCUUUUUUUUCUUUUUCUUUUUUUUUCCUUUUUUUUUUUUUUCAGCUCUCUG